rnacentral:lncRNA from 1 species
AUACAGUAAAUUCUUGAAUUUUUAAUAAUUUUAAAAAAUUGUUCAAAAUAGUAAAUUAUCUUAAUUUUUUUUAUUUUUGAGGCUAAUGGGCCUUCAAUAUUUAUGCAUUUUUUCAGAAUAAAUUACACUGAUAGUCCUUCAGAUUUGGCCUAUAUAUCAUCGUGGUCUCUAAUUUUCAAUUUUUAUCACUAAACCUCUCAAAUUUAAAUUGGUGAAUCAACAAAUCUCUUUCUAUCAGUCAACGUCUAAAAGUCUGACGGAAAAUUGGCACUGCAAUGACACGUGUAUAACUCCUUUUUAAAAGAAAUACAACUGAAAAUCUUUUUUUCCACCUUAACUCUAGAAUCUAGAUUCUACUUGGACUCUCCCUUCUCUCUGUGAGAAAAAUUCAGAUGAACUAAAUUUCAAAUUAAAAAAUCAUAUUCAGAUUUUUUUGAAAUCAAAGGAUUACUUCAUUCAAUCCAAACAGAACUCCAACAUGAACAGAAGGCUCAUACAAGUCGAUUCCAAUAAUCAUCACCAUCAACCAUAACCAUGUCGUUCUUACCCUCCUCCACCAAUUGACCACCCUUCUCUGCCACACACAGACCUGGCGCAUCCGUCCCACUCGCUACUCUCGCCAAACUAUUUGAAACAGUAAGCCAGGCGGCACCGUCAAUGGCCUGCUUACAUUGGUAGUGGUCAGUAGCAGCGGCGAUUUUGUUGGCGCCUCUUCUACGACUUGGGGCCAUCUCAAGAACCGCAGCUUCAAUCAAACACUAUUAAGCGAUUGCAAAAGAAGCACAUAUAUAAAUACUUCACUAAAAUGCCAAAAUCGCCUAAAAAAAUGAGUAGUCUAGCACAAUCUAGGAUUUUCAAGGCACUAUUUAGGGAAGCAGUUAGCAGGCAUUGAAACUCACAAUCCAUACAAAAGAAAUGAAUAAAGUCAGCACUCGGUCCAUAUAAAAACCCUAACUUGAGAUUACUAAUAUAAAAGAAAGAAACAAAAAAAGAAGAAGAGAGAACGAGAAGAGUCUAACUGGGAGAAGAUUCCACUCUUAUGAUUCUUUUUAUGGAGCGGAGAAACCGGUAGCUGAGACAUUCAUGGCGGGUGGCAAUGAUAUUAUUCAUUCUUAUGAUUUGUCUUUUAACGUCGGUGGAUGUGGUGGCUUAGGGAAGGGAAAAGAAAGCUUUCCAGCUUAGCAAUUUUAACAACUUACUAGGUAGGAAAAUGUGGCUUGCCUAGCCUCUUGUGACGUCACAGUAGAGUUUUACGUUACAAGUUGUUUUGAGUUUUUAGGAUUUAAGCUACUUUUGUUGUUACUUC